CUAGCGAAUGAGUUCGUGGAAGGUGGUGUUCACAGCACUGUUGGAUCGGCUGGAAAUUCUCCGCUUGCUGACAAUUAUGUCAAUGGUUGGCAUACGUUGGUGGCCGACGUGGGAAGCUCGGGAACCUCCUUGUGCUAUUGAUGUUCCGGCUAUACAUCCUGUUGGAAAUCAAACCCAACAUACCUUCGGCAAAGGGCGCUAGGGGCCGCCUACUCGCUUCUGAGUCAUCGUGGCGAGCGACGCAGCGGCGAGCGGUGCAGCGAGGGGGGCGCCGGGCGAGAGGGGCAUAGACCAGUCUUGCGCUCACGGACACCACCGACGACGGUCGACAUUCGCUCAUAAUAUAUUAAUUGUUUGUCCGCGAGAUCUUUGAUUAUUGUAAUUAGAACGGCAAUAAACCGCGCCUAUCAACAAUA